rnacentral:piRNA from 1 species
UGACUGCCUAGAGCAGACUCUGGCAACUAGC